rnacentral:lncRNA from 1 species
CGCAGCCUGCGGGAGCAGCGCGCAGACCAGCGCGGGCCGGGCCGCCGAGCCCCGCGGAGGGCGCUCACCUCAGAGGCGCGGCCCGGCGGGUCCGUCCCGCCCGUCCGUCAGUCAGUCAGUCAGCGGCGGGGCAGCGGCGCAUCCCGCCCGCGGCGGCCGAGGAGGGGAGCAGUCGCGCGAGGGAGCGAACAGGCCGAGAAGGCGAGACGGGAGAGAAGCGCGCCAGCCCGAACUCAGUCUCCACUCUGCUUCCGGGGCCUUCUACCGCCGCCGCUGGCCAGAGAGUCGCCGCCGGGGCCGCUGCUGUCGCCACCGAUGCAGCCAGGAAUGAAUGCACAGCGGCGCCUCAGUUAUCCGGAGGUCAAACAUCCUUCGGCCUCGAGCAUCCGGAUCGGCGCUGGACCCGGAAGUGAACACAUGGAAAAAAAUUAAAAAGGAAAGCGUCGCUCUAGCGGCAGCUGCGGCGGUGGCCCCAGCGCUGCCCGAGUCCACGAAAAGAGCCGAGCAGAGCCGAAGAUUACACUAACCUGCUUGGAUUGGUUGGAUCGCCAAUAGGAAGGGAGGCAGCGCGCUAGCUGGCUGGCACGGCCUAUAAAAGCUAAGCCACGCCUCGUCCCCGCCUUCCCUCGAGCGGCUCUUGAGGUGUAAAUGCAAGUAUGUUUCUCUGGGUGAGUCUGUGAGUCUACGGAGAGAGCUGGAAGACAACGUUUCGGUGUGUUAAAAGAGCUACUAAAAAUUCAAUUCACACAAGACUCUACAGUGAGCUGUAGACCUUCGACUAGAUCUUUCAGCUAUUCAACGCACAGACAGCCCUUUGCACCCAUCCACACCUGGCCCUGAAGGUGGCCAUUCACCCUGCCUUGGAGCAGCUGCCUAUAGACUGAAACUUCUGCAAACUGUGAGCUAAAAUAAACUUUUCUCCUUUAACUUGUGGAUAUCAGGUAUUUUGUCCCAGCAAUGAAAAAGCAACUAAGACGCUGCCAAACUGUUUUCCAGAGUAUAUAAAACCAUUUUAUAUUCUCAUCAGCAAUGACUGAUAUAGUUUCUUCAUAUCCUCACCAGCUUUUUAUGUUUUCACUAUUUUUAAUUUUAGCCAUUCUGAUAGUUGUGUAAUAAUAGCUCAUGGCUGUUUUAAUUUGCAUUUCUCUAAUUUUUAACAUCUUUUCAUGGGAUCAGUUGCUGUCACUAUAUCCUCUUUAGUGCAGUACCUGUUCACAUAUUUGGCCUAUUUUCUAGUUGUAUUAUUUGGUUUUAUGCUAUUGAGAUUCUUUUUCUUUUUCAGUGCUGGAGGUUGAACCCAGAGCCUUGCACAUGCUAGAUAAAGCACUCUAUCACUGAGGCAUAUCCCUAGCCCUAUCAUUCUUUAUAAAUUCUUGCUACCAGUCCUGUAUCAAAUAUGUGGUUUGAAAAUAUUUUCUCCAGAUCGCUACAUUGUUUUCUAAUUUUCAUAACAGGGGCUUUUUACAGCAAAAGUUUUUAAAUUUUCAUUAAGU